rnacentral:lncRNA from 1 species
CAGGAUCUGCUUACCCUUCCGGAGCACCUGCGAUCACCCCUAGUUUUUGGUGGGGUUCGUGUUGUUUAUUCUUUAGUUUUCUAUGUUGUGUCAUGUGUACUAUUGUUUUUCUGUUUGUCUUUUUCAUGUUUAGCCAUGGCGUUGUCAGUUUGUUUUAGAUUUAUGAGUUUGACUGUCCCUUUGGUAUCUUUCGUCCCUCUUUUA